rnacentral:rRNA from 1 species
GGGUUCGUAGCGUAUUACUGCACGUCUAGCGGACGAUGGGAGCUUGCUCCCUGAUGUUAGCGGCGGACGGGUGAGUAACACGUGGGUAACCUGCCUGUAAGACUGGGAUAACUCCGGGAAACCGGGGCUAAUACCGGAUGGUUGUCUGAACCGCAUGGUUCAGACAUAAAAGGUGGCUUCGGCUACCACUUACAGAUGGACCCGCGGCGCAUUAGCUAGUUGGUGAGGUAACGGCUCACCAAGGCGACGAUGCGUAGCCGACCUGAGAGGGUGAUCGGCCACACUGGGACUGAGACACGGCCCAGACUCCUACGGGAGGCAGCAGUAGGGAAUCUUCCGCAAUGGACGAAAGUCUGACGGAGCAACGCCGCGUGAGUGAUGAAGGUUUUCGGAUCGUAAAGCUCUGUUGUUAGGGAAGAACAAGUGCCGUUCAAAUAGGGCGGCACCUUGACGGUACCUAACCAGAAAGCCACGGCUAACUACGUGCCAGCAGCCGCGGUAAUACGUAGGUGGCAAGCGUUGUCCGGAAUUAUUGGGCGUAAAGGGCUCGCAGGCGGUUUCUUAAGUCUGAUGUGAAAGCCCCCGGCUCAACCGGGGAGGGUCAUUGGAAACUGGGGAACUUGAGUGCAGAAGAGGAGAGUGGAAUUCCACGUGUAGCGGUGAAAUGCGUAGAGAUGUGGAGGAACACCAGUGGCGAAGGCGACUCUCUGGUCUGUAACUGACGCUGAGGAGCGAAAGCGUGGGGAGCGAACAGGAUUAGAUACCCUGGUAGUCCACGCCGUAAACGAUGAGUGCUAAGUGUUAGGGGGUUUCCGCCCCUUAGUGCUGCAGCUAACGCAUUAAGCACUCCGCCUGGGGAGUACGGUCGCAAGACUGAAACUCAAAGGAAUUGACGGGGGCCCGCACAAGCGGUGGAGCAUGUGGUUUAAUUCGGAUGCAACGCGUAGAACCUUACCAGGUCUUGACAUCCUCUGACAAUCCUAGAGAUAGGACGUCCUCUUCGGGGGCAGAGUGACAGGUGGUGCAUGGUUGUCGUCAGCCUCGUGUCGUGAC